rfam:Spinacia oleracea cultivar SynViroflay scaffold89223.con0012.1, whole genome shotgun sequence.
AUUGCGGUAUCCGAAAAGCAUAUAGAGUAGGAA